CGAGUCGCGCGCCCGGGGGCGCCCGGGAGCGGCGCACGGCUCAGUAACACGUGCCUAACCUAACCUCGGGAGGGGGACACCCCCGGGAAACUGGGGCCAAUCCCCCAUAGGAGGAGGGCGCUGGAAGGCCCCUUCUCCAAAAGGGACGGCGGCCGAUCUGUCGCCGUCCGCCCGAGGGUGGGGGCACGGCCCAUCAGGUAGUUGGCGGGUUAACGGCCCGCCAAGCCGAAGACGGGUAGGGGCGGUGAGAGCCGCGAGCCCCGAGAUGGGCACUGAGACAAGGGCCCAGGCCCUACGGGGUGCAGCAGGCGCGAAUACUCCGCAAUGCGGGCAACCGCGACGGGGCUACCCCGAGUGCCGGGCGAAGAGCCCGGCUUUUGCCCGAUGUAAAAAGUCGGGCGAAUAAGCGGGGGGCAAGUCUGGUGUCAGCCGCCGCGGUAAUACCAGCCCCGCGAGUGGUCGGGGUUUUUACUGGGCUUAAAGCGCCCGUAGCCGGCCCGGCAAGUCGCUUCUGAAAUCCUAGGGCCCAACCCUGGGGCGGGGGGCGAUACUGCCGGGCUAGGGGGCGGGAGAGGCCGCCGGUACUCCGGGAGUAGGGGCGAAAUCCGUUAAUCCCCGGAGGACCACCAAUAGCGAAGGCAGGCGGCCAGAACGCGCCCGACGGUGAGGGGCGAAAGCCGGGGGAGCAAAGGGGAUUAGAUACCCCUGUAGUCCCGGCCGUAAACGAUGCGGGCUAGC
rnacentral:rRNA from 1 species